UCCCUAAAUCUCAUAUAGAAGAUCCAUCUUUGUUACAAGUUACUGCCCACAAUCCAAAGCUUCAUGUUUUGGUCGAGAGAAAAAGGGUGAGGCCUGAAGAUCAGUGAUUGUAGUUCUCGAGGAUGAGGAAUGGCAGUGAGGACCGGUGUUGAGGUUGUUCUAGUUCCUUUACUGGCCCAAUGUGUUCUGGGGCUUGGUUGAGAUCUAUUGAAGGUUGGACUUUGAGAUGGUAGCGGCAUGGCAGCUUAAGUUUGAGUUGCUUCUUUGUUUGAUAUGGGUUUUUAGGCGAUCGAAUAGCAAAAGGUUUGGAAUGUAGUGCUAUCUCUCAUGGAUGAUUUGGUGUCAAACAAAAUUUGAUGGGGUUGAGCUUCCCCUUGAUAAGCAAAGAUACCUAUUCUUUUAGUUCUUUGGUUCAGCGGACAUUUGCAGAUGACAAUAUACCUUCUUCCUUGGGAAAAUUUUGUAAUAUUUUGUCUUUGUAAUUUAUUACUUUUGAGAGGAAACAGUACACUUAGUGUGUACUUCAAUUAUUCCUUCUACUUUUAAAAAAAUUUCUUAUAAAUCGAAAAGCAAAAUCAAUGGGUUAGCCCAGCAUUUUUGUAGGGUUUUUAUGAUAAACUCUGUUUGUAGUAUAAAAAAUAAAAUAAAAUAAAAAAGGCAAAAUUGAUUAAUGCCAUCCUAAUAGCAGGGGAAAAUUACUUUUU